GAUGAACGCUAGCUACAGGCUUAACACAUGCAAGUCGAGGGGAAACGACAUCGAAAGCUUGCUUUUGAUGGGCGUCGACCGGCGCACGGGUGAGUAACGCGUAUCCAACCUGCCCAUCACUUGGGAAUAACCUUGCGAAAGUAAGACUAAUACCCAAUGAUAUCCCACGAAGGCAUCGGAAUGGGAUUAAAGAUUUAUCGGUGAUGGAUGGGGAUGCGUCUGAUUAGCUUGUUGGCGGGGUAACGGCCCACCAAGGCAACGAUCAGUAGGGGUUCUGAGAGGAAGGUCCCCCACAUUGGAACUGAGACACGGACCAAACUCCUACGGGAGGCAGCAGAGAGGAAUAUUGGUCAAUGGGCGAGAGCCUGAACAAGCCAAGUAGCGUGAAGGAAGACGGCCCUAUGGGUUGUAAACUGCUUUUAUAAGGGAAUAAAGUGUGUCACGUGUGACUUUUUGCAUGUACCUUAUGAAUAAGGACCGGCUAAUUCCGUG
rnacentral:rRNA from 1 species